AAAGAGAGGGAAGAGGGAGAGGAGCGAGAGGUGGCAGCAGCUAGGGCUGCAGCACCUCUGUUUCCUGCAGGUGGAAACAGAGGAGAGGUGGGGCGUUCGAAGAGGAGAAGAAGAAGAAGGAAGAGAAGAGGAAGAGGAAGCAGGAGAAGAGGUUGUGAUACCUCUGUUUCCUGCAGAGGAAACAGAGGAGAGGGUGUGUGUGACGUCGGGGAGAAGAAGGGGAAGAAGGAGAAGAAGAGAAGAAGAAGAAAGGAAGGAGAGGAAGAAGAGAAGGGAAAGGAGGAGCUGCGGCUGCGGCGGUGGCAGCUGCAGCUGGAAGAGAAGGAGAGGAAGAGAUGGUGAGGAAGAAGAGAAGAAGUAGAAGCGGGUGAAGAGGCGGCACCUCUGUUUCCUGCAGGAGGAAACAGAGGAAAGGAGGUGCUGUUCGUCGGGGAGAAGAAGGGGGCUGCAGCUGCGGCGAUGGCAGCUGCAGCUGGAAUAGAAGAAGAAGAGGAAGAUGAGCAGGGGAGGAGGGAGAGGUUGCGGCCGUGGCUGCGGCCGCGACUGCAGCAGUUGCAGCGGGGAGAGAAGAAGAAGAAAGGAAGGAGAAGGAAGAGGAGAAGGGAAAGAAGUAGCUGCGGCUGCGGUUGUGGCAGCUGCAGCUGUGGCAGGGAAAGAGGAAGAGAAAAAGGAAAGGAAGAAGAAGAGAAAGGGAAGGAGAGGAAGAAGAGAGGAAGAGGAGAAGGGGCUGCAGUUGCGGCGAUGGCAGCUGCAGCUGUGGCUGGGAAAGAAGAGAAGGAAAGGAAGAAGAAGAGAAAGGGAAGGAGAGGAAGAAGAGAGGAAGAGGAGAAGGGGUGGCAGCUGCGGCAGUGGCAGCUGCAGCUGGAAGAGGAGGAGGAAAUAGAGCAGGGGAGGAAGAAGAGGCUGCGAGUGUGGUGGCUGCGGCCGUGGCUGCGACUCCGGCUGUGGCUGCGACGUUGGCUGCGGUAGCUGCGGCAGCGGUGGUAGCUGCAGUAGCUGCUUUUGGGAAAGAGAAAGAGUAGGAACGAGAGAAGGGAAGAAGGAAAUAGUGCAGUGGAAGGGGGCUCGGUUGUGACCGCAGUUGCGAUUGUGGCAGCGGCAGCGGCGGCGGCUGUGGCAGCUGCGUUUGGGAAAGAAAAAGAAGGAAUGAGAGUAAGAGAGAGCAGGUGACUGUGCCUCGAUGUUCGACACGUGAUGUAGUUACGAAGAAAGGAAGAAAAUGGGAGCACAAAACGAAACAGAGAGAGGACACGGAGGAAAAGUAGAAAGAUUGGACUGGCACCUUCCUUGGAUAUUCAGAUCAAAAUAUUUGAAAGGUCAGCUUGUCACUCUUCGAGAUGUUUGAUUUGGGCUGAGGCAGUGGAUAGCUAUUCAGAAUUAUGGGCAAGUCCUGUUGGUUGUUAUGCUAUUGUUGUAUAAGCAUAUUUUGUAUGUAAUGAAUUGUUCUGAUGAUCGAAAUGGAUAUACUGUGUAAAAGUGUUAGAAGAUCUCUCUUAUUUGGAAUUUCGGAAUGUUAAGUCUAAUUUAUGACGAUAUGAACUUGUGGUGAAUAGUUGGAGUUCUGAUUGUAUAAUUUAUUUAGCUUGUGGAUUUAUAAAUGUUGUUCAUGUUUGUCAAGUUGGCUUGGGUUGCCAUAAAUGUGAAUUAUCGAGUGAUGUGAUAUAUGAUUAUAAACUGCACAGGUUUUAUGGAUGUGAAUAUGAAUAGAAUGUUUUCAGUGUCCUCAAACGUUAGUUUGGAUCCUGGAUUGGUCUGUGACGAAAAUUUUAAAAAUCAUGGAUAUUUUGAGGGGCGUGACAAAGGUGGUAUCAGAGCAUUGUUUGAGGAUUACUGAAAUAUUUGAUAUGUUGACGUGCAAAAUAUAUUGAGGUCUAAUGAACUAUAGUGAUUGGUGGAAAUUUUCUUUGCUGCAUUUUAGGAAUCUGGGAUGAUGAGGACAUUUGGUCCUCCUAUAUCAUUUGUUUCUGAUUAAUUAAGGGGAAUGAAAGGAUUGAUUGGGGAUAUUGAAUCAGAGUGGCGCAGCAGAAGAAUGAUGAACCUAAUUUCAUUGGUGGUAGAAAAAUGGAUGAUGCAAAUGGAGAAGAUAUUUGAUAUACAAAAUUGUUCUGAUACUCGAAAGAUUUCUUUUGCCACGUUAUAUUGGAAGUAAAGACUUAUUAUUGACGGCAACAAUGAAAAGAAUUUUUGAAGAUCAAUGGCAAGAAUGACAAGAACAAGUUUACCAAUAAAAAUAUGAUUGGAAAUGAAUCAGUAAGUAACAACAAGAGAGUCAAGACAUUUGGAUUUGAAAUGGGAAGUCACCACAAAAGACUCAAUCAGGUGUGAAUUGCAAGUUAAAUUAUGAAACAAGUUUAUGUUUGUGCGUGACUAGAGCGUAUUUUGCUUAUGGAAAGUUUGAUAAUAAAAUAAAAGUUUGCCCUUUGAACAAGAAGAAAGAGUCACUGCCUCCUAAAUCAUCAGCCCAUGUCAGAGUGUAUGCUAUCACUGAAUAUGAUUCUAAGACUUCUGAAUUAGUGGUCGAAGGUAUUAUGUAUGUUUAUGAAAGAAUGCAAAUAUUUGUUUGAACAUGGGUUCUAUCUACGAUUUGAUUCGUAACAUAUUGCCUAUCACUUGGGUAUUCAACCUAGACCACUGUAUUAUGUGAUAUAUGUAAGUACAAUCAUUGGAGAUUCUUUGAUAACGAACUUGAAUCUGGUCCUCUUGUCUGAUUUUUGUUGGAGAACUUGAACUUUUGCUGAUUUAGUUCUCCUAGAGAUUUGGAGUUAUGAUAUUAUACUUGGUAUGCAUUGGCUAUCUUCUUAUCAUACCAGUAUGGAUUGGUAUAUAACAAAUGAUCACUUUUUGCAUAUUUGAUCAGCCGAUCUUUUAUUUUGAGAGUAUUGGACAUUAUUUAUCUCCUUGCCUAAUGUAUCCCAGGAUGACUUGCCUGGAUUACCUCCAAAUGUGAUUUUGCUUUUGAUUUGGUCCUUGGGACAAUCCCUAUAUCUAAGCCUCUCUGCAGAAUGAUAUCAUUUGAGUAAGUGGAAUUAGAAAAACAACUACAAGGAUUAUUAAAUGAGGAUUUUAUUUGGCUUAAUAUUUUAUCAUGGGGUGCUCUGGUGUUAGUUAAAAAGAUGGAUGGAACAUGGAGGCUUUGUAUUGAUUAUGGAUAGUUGAAUCAGGUGAUCAUCAAAAACGAGUAUUUUCUGAAGUAACAAUUUGCUUGAUUAAUUACAGGUGCGCAAGUAUUUUUGAAAGAUUGAUUGAAGGUCGGGUUUACCAUCUAUUGAGAAUCAAGAAGGAGAAUAUUUCGGUCACUCUUGGAAAAUUGUGUAAUUGUAUUGAAUUGAUGAAAUUAUUUAAGAGUAGGAGGAGGAAAUAAAGAAAUCAUAAUCCUCAUCUUUUCAUCGAUUGAGCUAUGACCAAUUUAGAGGACUAAAUUUUCUUUUAAGGGGGGGAGAGUGUAAUAUCCCCCACAUUUAAAAAUGUAUUAAAAAGGAUUUAUAUGUAAAUUGGGGGACCUAUAUGUAAAUAUAGAAAUUACAAGGACUAAACUGCUAAGUUGCAAAAAGAAAAAAAAAAAAAGAAAAGGAAAAACCGAAAAUUCGGUAUUAUCCCACCGCCUCCCACGCACUCUGUUUCUUUCCAGAAACAGAGAGAGCGGUGGGGCGUGAGGAGAAGAAGGAGAGUGGUUGAAGAAAAGAAGAAGAAGAGGGAAAAGAAGAGAGGAGGAAGAAGAGAGGAAGAAGAGAGGAAGAGAAGAAGAUGAAGAAGAAGAAGAAGAGGAGGUGGCUGCAGCGAGGGCUGCAGCGAGAAGCUGUGGGGCGUGGGGAGAAGAAGAGAGGAAGAAGAGGGAGAAGAGAAGAAGAAGCAGAAGAAGCAGAAGAAGAAGAAGAAGAAGAAGAAGAGAGGAUGAUAGCUGCGGCAAGGCUGCAGCGAGGAGGUGUGUGGGGUUGGGGAGGAAAGGGGAAGAGGAGAAGAAAAGAAGGAGAAGAAGAGGGAAAAGAGAGGGAAGAGGGAGAGGAGCGAGAGGUGGCAGCAGCUAGGGCUGCAGCACCUCUGUUUCCUGCAGGUGGAAACAGAGGAGAGGUGGGGCGUUCGAAGAGGAGAAGAAGAAGAAGAAGGAAGAGAAGAGGAAGAGGAAGCAGGAGAAGAGGUUGUGAUACCUCUGUUUCCUGCAGAGGAAACAGAGGAGAGGGUGUGUGUGACGUCGGGGAGAAGAAGGGGAAGAAGGAGAAGAAGUGAAGAAGAAGAAAGGAAGGAGAGGAAGAAGAGAAGGGAAAGGAGGAGCUGCGGCUGCGGCGGUGGCAACUGCAGCUGGAAGAGAAGGAGAGGAAGAGAUGGUGAGGAAGAAGAGAAGAAGUAGAAGCGGGUGAAGAGGCGGCACCUCUGUUUCCUGCAGGAGGAAACAGAGGAAAGGAGGUGCUGUUCGUCGGGGAGAAGAAGGGGGCUGCAGCUGCGGCGAUGGCAGCUGCAGCUGGAAGAGAAGAAGAAGAGGAAGAUGAGCAGGGGAGGAGGGAGAGGUUGCGGCCGUGGCUGCGGCCGCGACUGCAGCAGUUGCAGCGGGGAGAGAAGAAGAAGAAAGGAAGGAGAAGGAAGAGGAGAAGGGAAAGAAGUAGCUGCGGCUGCGGUUGUGGCAGCUGCAGCUGUGGCAGGGAAAGAGGAAGAGAAAAAGGAAAGGAAGAAGAAGAGAAAGGGAAGGAGAGGAAGAAGAGAGGAAGAGGAGAAGGGGCUGCGGCUGCGGCGAUGGCAGCUGCAGCUGUGGCUGGGAAAGAAGAGAAGGAAAGGAAGAAGAAGAGAAAGGGAAGGAGAGGAAGAGGAGAAGGGGUGGCACCUGCGGCAGUGGCAGCUGCAGCUGGAAGAGGAGGAGGAAAUAGAGUAGGGGAGGAAGAAGAGGUUGCGAGUGUGGUGGCUGCGGCCGUGGCUGCGACUCCGGCUGCGGCUGCGACGUUGGCUGCGGUAGCUGCGGCAGCGGUGGUGGCUGCAGUAGCUGCAGUAGCUGCUUUUGGGAAAGAGAAAGAGUCGGAACGAGAGAAGGGAAGAAGGAAAUAGUGCAGUGGAAGGGGGCUGCGGUUGUGAUCGCAGUUGCGAUUAUGGCAGCGGUAGCGGCGGCGGCUGUGGCAGCUGCGUUUGGGAAAGAAAAAGAAGGAAUGAGAGUAAGAGAGAGCAGGUGACUGUGCAUCGAUGUUCGACACGUGAUGUAGUUACGAAGAAAGGAAGAAAACAGGAGCACAAAACGAAACAGAGAGAGGACACGGAGGAAAAGUAGAAAGAUUGGACUGGCACCUUCCUUGGAUAUUCAGAUCAAAAUUUUUGAAAGGUCAGCUUGUCACUCUUCGAGAUGUUUGAUUUGGGCUGAGGCAGUGGAUAGCUAUUCAGAAUUAUGGGCAAGUCCUGUUGGUUGUUAUGCUAUUGUUGUAUAAGCAUAUUUUGUAUGUAAUGAAUUGUUCUGAUGAUCGAAAUGGAUAUACUGUGUAAAAGUGUUAGAAGAUCUCUCUUAUUUGGAAUUUCAGAAUGUUAAGUCUAAUUUAUGACGAUAUGAACUUGUGGUGAA